UACACCCAAAGUAAUUUGGGCACUUUUGAGGAUGACUAACCAUGAUGAAAGGAUAAGCGAUCUUUGAGAAGCUGCCAACAAGAUUCAUAUUAACAGUCUUCGAUAAUGUUGAUUCAUUCCACCAACAAGAGGACAACACUGGUGAAUAAAUAAAGUAUGCAUUUGCAUGUGUAAAAUCUGAAAUAGCGACAGUGGUGGACCCUUGGCAAUGAGUUCUUAUCUCAUGGAUUCAACAUCAGUUUCAAGAUUGCAGAAGGAUGAAAAGGGUUGCAGACGAUGCUAGUCGUUGAGGAAGAUGUGAUUCUGCUGUUUGGAAUAUGUGUUUGUAACCUGUAUCAUUUUGGUGUUUGGAACAUGUGUUUGUGACCUAUAGAAAUAAACAUAUAAUCCAUUUAUGAUUGUUUACUAUGUGAAGCGUUUGCUUUUGUUAAUAUUUACUAGGACUUUGAUUAUUCCUAGUAAAUGAAUGUAUUUGUUCCAUUGUACCAUAACAUCUACCAGAUGCUUCCUAAUUCUAAUUGAAACAAGGAAAAUGCUUAAUAAGGUGGCACCACGUUGCGGAAAACAAGUGACGCUCAGCAGUAAUUAGCUACGUACAUUUUCUCAUUUUAAUUCAUGUAUAAUUAAUACAUGUAGUACUAUUUCAUAUUAUAUCUCAUAAAUAAUACAUAGAUUCCUACACAAGAGAGCCUCUGCUUAUUUCAUAAUAAUCUAAUAUACCAUUUUUAUGUUUCGAGUGCACAUGUUUCCUCUUAACAUUCUUUGUGUUUCGAGUGCACAUGUUUCCUCUUAACAGUCUCUGUACAGGUUAGUCGGAAUUAGUUUCAUAAAUCAUCAAUAUCUAUUUCGCUCCAUUUGGACCUGUUUCAUUCGAAUACUCUAACAAUAUCGGGUUUUCAGUACCAGAUAUUUCACAGCUUACCAAAACCCAGCUGGCACAAGGAUGAAAAUUGGAUGCAUGGCUAGUAAGGAUUCAGGUUUAUAGCAGAUGAUUGUAAAUCUGGUAACCUAAGUAGAACUAGAAGUCUGAUACUAAAUAUGGCAGAUAACAUGGAGAAAGCAAAACAGAUCGUUUUUCAACUUCGACAAACAAGAAAGAAUAGUAAUGUAUCAGAAUAAACUUCAAAAACAGAAAUGUCAAGACAUCAUUCUUUCA